UACGAAGGGGGCUAGCGUUGCUCGGAAUCACUGGGCGUAAAGCGCACGUAGGCGGACUCUUAAGUCGGGGGUGAAAUCCUGGAGCUCAACUCCAGAACUGCCUUCGAUACUGAGAGUCUCGAGUCCGGGAGAGGUGAGUGGAACUGCGAGUGUAGAGGUGAAAUUCGUAGAUAUUCGCAAGAACACCGGUGGGCGAAGGCGGCAUCCUGGACCGGCAUUGACGCUGAGGCGCGGAAAGGCUAG
rnacentral:rRNA from 1 species